rnacentral:lncRNA from 1 species
UCCAUUACUUGUUCCUGCUUUUACACGCAUUUACUCUUGUUGUUGCAUGUCCUGUGUGACCUGGAAAACUCUUACUUGCGGUGUAAAAGAAAAUCUGCAUAGAUCCAUUACUUGCUCCUUAUUUUACACGCAUUUACUUUUGUUGUUGUCUGCCCUGUGUGACCUGGAAAACUCUUACUUGCUGUGUAAAAGAAAAUCUACAACCAUAUACUCGACGGUUUUAAGUCACUAAGGAUCAAAAUUUUGGCAAAGUUGUAAAUAGUUUCGAUGAGGCUAUUUCUUAAGGUAAGAGAUCACCGAGAAACUGUUUGUCUUGUUAGAUAUAUAUGGAAUAAUGAGUGGUUCAACCCGAGGUAAUGUUUUCAGUCUCACCGAAUGUUUGUCUUGUUAGACAUAAACUUUUCAAAUCUGUAUGUAUAGAAACUGAAGGCUCUAAGGUAACAAUUAACUGAACAAAAAUACAAAAUUAAAUCCCAAUGUGUAUCUACCAAAGUCACUAAUCAUGUCAAUGCAACUCAUUUGAAAGUCCCAUAACUCAUUAGUAAUAAGUAGAUGAUGCAUAUCGUUCAUCACUGUUGUUGACAUUCUUAUCGUGUAAACAUAGAUUAUGAUGCAUACAGAUGAAAAAUGCAGAAGAUGAAACACUAACCUCUGCAUCAUUGUUAUACUCUAGUUUUCUCUGUUGUUUCGAGGCCUUCGAAAUCGAGCAACAGCCUCAUGAUAAACUAUGUAGUCACGUCAGACUCCUCCACAUGAACUUUCACCCCUUAAUGUACAUAAACUUUGAACGCAUGAACCUAAUUUUGCAAAAAAAAAAACAACACAAACACAAUCCUUCAUUCCCCUUUCUGCACUAAAACAAACCCAAAAAAAAAUUGCAGCUCUUAUAAACUCACUCUGACACCCCCGAUCGUAGAUAACCGGAAAUGACACGGUCGAUGUUCCCUGAUGGUCGACCCAAGGUUCUCGAAAUAAAUCUGAUCGCCUUAGACCAACAACCAAAGAACACAGACGCUCCUAUCGGAUAUUACUCUAGGCUUUUCAACCCGAUAAAGCAAUAUUCGAUAGUUAGUUCGUCCCGGACAAAGACUAAUAUCAUAUGAGAACUCGUGAUUUAUAAACAUCUUUUAUAUAUUAGUUAUUUACUUUAAACAUCUUACAAAGUGUUAUAGUUUUAUCCUACGGCCUAUUGCCCAACAACGUUUUAAGUAAAUAUACAUCAAAAGGUACGUUGCAAGGACAACAAAAUACUACCGCUGGUUGGCCGCUCCUUCCGUCCAAAAGAGUAAAGUGUCUCCCGCCUAAGGGUUACCUGCACACACGAAUGAGUCAUGAGCAACUAGUUUACUCAGUGAAUCUAGAAUCACAACACAAUCAAUAAUAAACCAAACAAUUAUCAAAUGCAUAUACAUGAUCAUGCAAGUACUAGUACUAUACUUUAAUAUCGAUCAUCAUUGUGAAUUCUUAUUUUAAACAUCACUUCCACAACACCCGCCCGUUACCAUACUCAUAUAAUACAAUAUAUAUACUAGACCCAAGAAACCACUAAGGCUAACCGAGACUAGUGAGUUAGCAUCACCAUCAUUGUCGAAUGUCCGGUAUGAACAAUCCGACACUGCAUCGUCAUGCAGUACACGGUCUCCAGGGAGCUACCCCAUCAUCGUGUCUUCAUGACCUUGUUCCGUUCGCAGGACCAAGUCAUGGUAAUGCGGGGGCUUUAGGGAUAGUGAAUAUAACAAGAUUUCACAUGAUUUUACUUCCAUAAUUAUUCCAAAAUUAAUCCAUAAUUAAACCUUAAUAAAUCAUAAUUAACUCUUAAUUAAUCAUAGAUUAAUCCUUAAUUAAUUUCAUAUUAAUUUUUAAUUAAUCAAAGAUUAAUCCUUAAUUAAACCAAGAUUAAUCCUUAAUCAAAACCAUGAUUAUUUCAUAGUUAAGAUUAGUACUUGAGAACAAGUACUAAGAUUAGGAUUAACCUCACUUUAACAUUAUUCUUUAAGUGUAAGUGUUUACCAUGAGUAAACACAACACCAUUCUUAAAUAUUCAGACACUUUACUAACUUAAUCAAUGACUCAUUCAUGAUCUAUCUCAACAUCUGUCUAGACUCACCUAAAGAUUAGUCUUGAAACUGGCUUAGACAAGACUUGAGUUCCACUUGAACAAGGCUGAAUGGACCUGAGAAUGGACAAGGUUCUGAUCGGUCACUAUGGUUUAACUUAACAACUCAUCCGACUCACUUGACUGUGGCUUACCAAGAGACUGAAUGGACAGGACUGGAUACUUCAAGCAUUACUCUACCUCUGACCUGAAACAGAGUGGUAUGAUCACAAGAUCAGUUCGGUUCAUGCCUUAACACCUUAGAUCAUAUCAGUUCAAGCUUGGUUCUGCUCAGACUAUACAAGUUCAGCUCGGUUAUAGUCAGUCUACCAAAGUUCAAGACAAGAUCAGACUGAGUUCAAAUCGGUUUACUCAAAGCCGGAUCAAAACAUCAUAGCUGGUGGUUCUAAGAGGUUGAUUCUAUAGAAUGUGGAACUUGAUUCUUAUUAGAAAUCACAGAGUACAAUAUAUAGCUAGUACAUCACGUAGAGCUAGGUUAAUAAUAUUUACAUAUGAACCCUUUCCAUAUCUACAUCCUCAAUACACCCCCUCAAGAUGGAGGUACUUGUGUGACUCCAAUCUUGGAUGUAGCAAGAGUAAACUGCUGGCGACUUAGAGGCUUCGUGAGUGCGUCGGCAAGCUGAUCUUUGGUGGAGAUAUGAGAGACCCGAAUCAUGCCAAGCUGGAUCAUGUUCCUGAUGAAGUGAUAAUCUAUGGCAAUAUGCUUCAUCCUUGAAUGAAAAACUGGGUUUGCACACAGACAUGUGGCACCCACAUUAUCGCAAUAUAUCACAGGAACCGUCGGUAUCUGUAUCCCCAACUCCUGUAGUAACGAACAUAUCCAACGAACCUCCGAAGCUGUAUUGGCCACAGCGCGAUAUUCCGCCUCUGUGGAAGAACGAGCAACUCCAUUUUGCUUCUUCGACAACCAAGAAAUAGGUGUAGACCCAAGGUAGAUCACAUAUGCAUUUGUAGAUACAUAGUCGUCGGUAUCCCCUGCCCAAUCCGCGUCCGUAAACGCAUGAAGUGUAAGUGGUGAGCCAACACACAUAUGUAUACCAUGACUAGUCGUACCCGCCAAGUAACGCAAUACGCGUUUGAUGGCUUGCCAAUGAGUCUCCGUCGGUUGAUGCAUAAACUGAGAAAGACGAUUAACCGCGAAGGAGAUGUUUGGCCUCGUAAAUGCAAGGUAUUGCAGGCUCCCUACUACAGAACGAUAUUGAUAAGGAUCUGAUAACUUAACCCCAUCAUUCAACUUCAACUUAGGCGUUGUUGGCAUUGGAGUUGACACUGUCUUGGCAUCAACCAUAUUGUUUCUAGUGAGCAAAUCGAUGAUGUAUCUUCUUUGCAUUAGGUGCAAUCCCUUUGCUGAACGGUUCACCUCAAUCCCCAAGAAGUAGUGCAAGUCUACUGGAUCCUUAAUGGAAAACCGAGUGGCCAAUGACUGAAGAACAGAGGAGACAUGCUGUGAAUCGCUACCGGUAACGACAAUAUCAUCAACGUAGACCAGUAUAAACGUAUGAGAAGACCCAGACUUGUAAGUGAAUAAUGAAGUAUCGGCCAGUGAGUUUUGAAACCCAAUAUCGAGUAAGUGAUUCUUUAGAGACAUGUACCAGGCUCGGGGAGCCUGUUUGAGACCGUAUAUAGGUUUCUUCAAGCGAUAAACAUGGUGUGGUCGAUCAGUAUCUAUGAAUCCUGGAGAUUGAGUCAUAUAUACCUCGUCUUGAAGGUCCCCUUGAAGAAAUGCAUUAUUGACAUCAAGUUGUUUAAUUGGCCACCCUCUGUUAACCGCAAUAUCCAAAACUAGCCUGAUCAUUGUUGACUUAAUAACUUGACUGAAAGUUUCACCGUAAUCUACUCCAUACCGUUGUGUGUUUCCUCUCGCCACAAGUCGUGCCUUCGGACGAUCAACCUCUCCAUUCGCCAAAUAUUUAAUUGUGUAGAUCCAACCACAACCAACCAAGUUCUGUGAGGGGUGUGAAGGUACCAAAUCCCACGUGCCGAACUGGAUUUGAGCAUCAUACUCUGUUGACAUGGCUUUACACCAUCGCUCGUCUUUCAGAGCUUGAGCAACUGUUCGUGGUUCUAGAUUCAAAUACCGCUUAAAAGCAUUGAAACUGAAGCGGGAUGUUGGCUUGACAAUCUUGUUCUUAGCCCUGGUUUGCAUAGGAUGCUGAUUCUGUGGUUGUUCCUUGUCGUGUUGUGUAACUGGAUUUCGUGGGUUCCGGGUGAUUUGAUCGUUUAACGGUGGUUGUAUUUGUGGUUCACUGGUUUGCGAGGAAUGGGUUUGCAGAUUUGGUGUAGGUGAGCGUUGUUGAUGGGCUUCAUUUGUUUGGUGGUUGGGCUGGGCCGUGGGUGUCGGCCCAUUUUGACUUGGAGCAGUGGGCUCAGAGUUAGAGGGAGAAGAAGAAGGAGAGAGAGACAGAGAAGGCGAUACCUGAGCUUGUCGAGGUGAGACCGGAGAAGAUGAUGCAGGAGGCGGGGGCAGGUGAGAAUCCAAGCACGGGGAAGCAGAUGUCUCCGGUGGCGAGGCAGUCUGAAGAGGAACUCGAGUGAGCAGAGGCUGACACGUUGAUUCCGACACAUCAUCUCUCGUUUCAGAAUUUUUUGAUUUUGUUGUUUCACCAGCCGAGAAUGGGAAAACAGAUUCUUGAAAGGUCACAUGUCGUGAAGUAUACAUCCUUCCUGUGGGUAAAUGAAGACACAAAUAGGCACUUUGACUCGUUGAGUAGCCGAGGAAGACGCAAGGUUUCGACCGAUCUUCCAUUUUAUGCUUCGUAUAAGGCUGCAGCCAGGGGAAACAUCAACAACCAAAUACUCGAAGUCGAUUGUAGUUUGGAGCCUUCUGAAAUAGUUUCUCAUACGGUGAUUGAUACUCCAGAUUUGGUGUUGGGAGCCUCUUAAUCAGAUAAAUGGCCACAGCAAAAGCGAAUGGCCAGUAUGUCUUUGGCAUAGAAGCUUGAGACAUGAGAGUGAGUCCUGUUUCGACAACGUGUCGAUGCUUCCGCUCCGCAGCACCGUUGUGUACUGGUGUAUGGGGAGGUGACGUAAGGUGUGAGAUGCCAUGACUCUGCAGGUACGCUUUCAUUACCAUAAAAUCACCACCAUUAUCAUUAAAAAGAGUGCCAAUCCUUGUCUGAAAUCGGUUUUCAACUAGCUCUUUGUAGGCUGGAAAUAUCUCUUUGACUUGGGACUUUUGUUUGAGUGGGUAAAGCCAAGUAUAUUUGGUGAAGUGAUCAACAAGAAUUAGAUAGUAUUUGUACUGGUCAGUAGAAAUUAUGGGAGAUGACCAGCAACGGAGAAGAUAAUUUCAAGAGGUCGUGUGGAGGUUAUACUGGAAGUAGAAAAAGAAAGCUUAUGGCUCUUAUUAAUCAAGCAAUCUGAGCAAGACAAAGUGUUUGAAGAUAACUGAGAAACAGGAAGAGAAAACUUGGAAAGAGUUUUGUUUAAAAUAGCAAUAAAAGGAUGGCCCAAACGAGAGUGCCAAGAUGAUAAUGUAGCCUUUGAAGUUGGAGACACAAACAUAGCCGCAGGAACAUAGUUCAUCACCGGCCAUUCAUACAGCUUCUCCUUAGUUCUGCCUUGGAUUAACCGGGUCCCCGUGCUCAGAUCCUUCACCUGAAAUGAAGAUGGAAAGAAUUCGACGGAGACUUGGUUAGUGUUACAUAAACCAUACACAGAAAUUAAGUUCUUAUGUAUGUUAGGCACACACAAAAUAUCAUUCAACACUAGAGAUUUGUUUUUAGAAGAAAGUGUUGCUGAACCAGUGUGGGUAAUUGAUUGAUUUGAUCCGUCUGCUAUGACAACCGCCUCACCUCCUUCAUACGGUUGAUGCAGAGACAGGUUCUGCAAAUCAGAGGUGAUGUGAUGAGUGGCUCCACUGUCAAGCGGCCAUUGAUUUGCAUUGUAUGACGUUGCAGCUGCUACAUUAGCUCUCGGCUGCCAUGGCGUAAAUGGUGUCUGCUGUGAGACCACUUGGUAGCUCUGGAGAUGUGGACAACGCUUGGCUCCAUGUCUUUGAGUGCCACAAAUUUGACACUUUCCAAGGUAUGGUCUUGGACCACGUGGUUGCUGCUGCCACGGCAUGUUGUUGUUGCUUGGCCUUGGUUGAGUGUUGUAGUGGUUGUUGGUGUGACUCUUAUUCUUGUUGUUGUUCUGGUACGAGUUACUCUUCUGAUGAACCACAUUUGCAGAGACAGGGACGACUGCUGCAGGCACAGACGAUGAAAGCUUCGCCUCGUGAUGAAGAAGCUUCUCAUGAAGCUCAGUGAUGGUGGGAGUUGUUUCACGACCUUCGAUUUGCUCAAUUAACGGUUUGUACUCCUCUGACAGUCCAUCAAGAAUAGCAUCGAUCUGAUCUUCAUGUUCCAUAGGCUUCCCUAGAAUGGCAAGCUGAUCCAAUCUAGUAGUCACGCCUUGUACAUAGGCAUCAAUAGUCUUAUUCUCCUUCUUCCAAUACUUGAGUUGAUUUCUCAGGUUUUUGAUGUGCGCACGGCUAGGUUUUGCAGAUGUUGAGGCCAGCGUCUCCCAGAUCUGUGCAGCUAUAGUAGCUCUCGAGACCAGAGGUUGCAACGGUAAGGUGAUGGCUCCAAGAAGAGCGAUGUAGAUCAAGCGAUCUUGACGCUUCCAGAUUGUGUUCUCUGGAUUCGGAGAGGUUUCUCCAUCGAUAGUGACAGUAGGAGAAGGUAUCACGGUGGAUCCAUCCAGAUGACCAACAAGGCCAUAUCCAUCAACCAAAGCGUGGACUUGAAGACUCCACAUAAGGUAGUUUGUUGAUGAUAGCUUAGAAACGUUUGUCAUGUUGAUGUUUAGGAUAGUUUGGUUGUUGAUGUUGGUGGGAAUGGUGUCUGUGAUUGUUGUAGAGUUGGUUAGAGACGCCAUUGAUGCAAGUUUGAAAUGAAAAAAUUAUGAAAAAAAAAAAAAAUUGGUUUUAAGGAGCGACGGCUCUGAUACCAUAUAGAAUGUGGAACUUGAUUCUUAUUAGAAAUCACAGAGUACAAUAUAUAGCUAGUACAUCACGUUGAGCUAGGUUAAUAACAUUUACAUAUGAACCAUUUUCAUAUCUACAUCCUCAAUAGAUUCAAACCGAAAUUUACAAGAACUGAACUGUAUCAGAACUUAUACAACUGAUCCGACCAAGACCUAAACUAAACAUCAACUGUUCUGAUCAGAUACUGACUGAGGCAAGGAGACCAAAGCUUACCAAGACGAACCAAAGAAUUAGAUGGCCUCAGCUGAUCCUCUUCUCCAAGGUAAGCUUGCGGCUGGACUGAUCAAAGAGAAAGAUCAAGGUCUGAUCAUGAUCUGAACUCAACUAGGUCUAGGGUUUUAUUUAAAAAUCUCACCUUCUGAUCUUUCUCAAGGUAACAAACUGAGCUAGGGUUGAAGAUUAGAUCACCACCAAUUUUUUCUUGAUUCAAUUUCCUGAUUUUUCUCACUGAUUUUUUUGUUCUUCUUUUUCUCUUUCUCUCUGAAAUUCUCUAGGUUUUUCUGUAGGUUUCAGAACGUGGGAAGCAGCUGAAAAGAGUUAAACACAACCCGAGGUUACUUCAUAUGAGGGUUUAGCUCAUAACCAAGGUUGGCUGAGAGCAGACAGCUGGCAACCUGUUUCAUCAUCUACACCAUACUGUCCUUUCCCUCCCAUGAAGCAGUUCCAGCCAAUCAUAAAUAAUUAAAGGAGGAAGAAAGCACACAAGCAGCUUGUGAUUGUCAUGUGCCAUUUACUGAAGAAGCUAGGUAAGCAGGCAGGUGCAAGUCAAGUGACUGAAUACUGAACAAGCAGGCUGGUGGAAGACAUGAGUCUGGUCCAAAAUUAAUUAGGCAGUUGGUCGAUAAUUUUAAAUAAUUUUUCAACCAAAUAUGCCUUUUUCUUUGGCUCUCGUCUUGUUCUCGGAAAAUCUCGUCCAGCUUAAUAAAAAUUCGACCAAAAUAUUUAAGACUCAACCAAACUAUCUAGUGAAGGUCUUUUGACCAUAAGACAGUCCCGUCGAGAAAUUAACCUACCGGGUCGAUUUUUAUCUUUAUUAAUCCUGGUCGAACCAACUAAAAACUGGUCGAGCGGGAUUUUUCUCGACCAAAAAAUUUAUUGGCUCGUGAGGGUUAUUACACUCACCCUGUCUGAGAGCCUAUCAACCUCCCUUGUACCAUUGAACUGAAACGAUUGCAUGUUCUAUCUCUCGUCUCACUCUUGCUUGUUCCAUGGCUGUCAAUCUUGCUCUCUCCAUCACUUGCUCCAUCAGCUCAACACUGCCUGUUUCAUCGCUCUAUGCCCUUGAUCUGUUGAUCCCCGCUACUUUCUUUGUAGCUCUCCGCGCUUACUCUGUUUCUCUCUGCCUGAUUACUUCGUCCCUCUCCACCGCUUGCUCCGUCGCCCUCUAGUGACAUGCCACGUUAGUGACGACUGUGAAAAAAAUAUCAAUGAAGAACAGUUGCAAGAUCUGAGAAAAGGGCUUUACUACGAUUUUGUUUUAAGAACGAUCAUGAUUCUGGGUAAGUCUCAGUUCUUCAUCUUCUAUAUCCAUUUAUACCGAAACCACAGCCUCUUAGAUCGUAAAAAUGCUUUGAAGACACAUCGUGGGGGGAGCGAAUCAAUGAGAUUAAUGACAAAGAAAUUAAUCACACCGUUACAGGUCGUGGAAAGAAUUGCAAACGUCACAGCCUCCCCGUCGAACGUAUAGCAGACGACUUUUCGCUUCGUCGAUCGAACAGAUCUAGGGUUAGAAGGCGAAUCCUAUCUACCCGGGCCGGAAACAUGGACCAAAUUCGCAGCCCAAUACAGAAUUAAGAACGAAAGCCCAACAUAAAUGUGAAUAAAUGAAACGCAGCGGUUCGUGUGGACGGGACACGUGCCAGCGCGAAGGAGCUCGACUUUCCUAGUUGGAUGUUGAGGUGGCGCGCCCAUGAGAUAGCAAACAGUUCUUUAUAAUAAUAUAUUGGACUACGAUGCACUAAGAGAGUUCCAACUUUCGAAUCACGUAUAUAUAGAGUUUAAUAAGUCAUUCGGUAAAUAAAAGUAGCAAAUAAGAAAACUUGUGAUGAUAUUUUUUGCGGUAUACUUAGCAAAGUGUUGUUUGAUAUAUAUAACCAAACAAAAAAGGUUUUACAACAUAAUGAAUCGUUAAUCAUAGCCAUGCUUAAGAUAAUAUAUACAAAGGAAAGUCAAUAUAGUCGACUGGAGUAAGUAAAUAUUGUAGGAGAUGGAUUACAUCCCUCCACAAGGCCCAUCGAAUAAAAAGGCCUAGCCUAACAAGUUACAAACUUACUCGGCUCGGCGAGUAAAGCUGUCAGUUCGGUCUUAGAGUGCUUUUUGACGACGACCAAGCCGACCAAAAGCAUCCAGCUCGGAGGAACUCCAUCAAGGCCCAUAUACUCGGACUUCUCAAGUUAAGGCCCAAAGGGGGACCGGAUCAAGGACACACAAGGACGGAAAGCCUAUAAAAGGAAAGGAGACAACAACAAGAAGAGGAUUGACACUUUUACACACACACUGAGCGGCUAGAUCUAGGGUUUUAGUCUCUCUUUACUCCUAAUCGUUUUGUACCUUUUCCGGUUUGCUCUUCCAGCUCCGGCUUGUUUCCUUGAUCUCCUGUCACUCUUGUACCCCCUUUUGAUCAGGUCUAAUAAAACGUCUUUAGUCAUCCCAUUUUCAAGUUCUUUCAACCUAGUCGACUGAAUCCCGUACAAACAAUUGGCGCCCACCGUGGGGCUAGCUAAAGUAACGUUCUAGGUCUACAUGGUUCAAGAUGAUGCCACCUUCGGCGCUCCAGGCGGAGAACCAACCCCUAUGCCUGAAGCCGCUCCACCGAUCCCCGCAGACUUCAUGAGCUCCGUUAUGGCUCGAUUCGCUCGACAAGACAAAGUUCAAAAGACGACCAACGACCAGCUAGCUGCUUUGGUCGCAGCACUCACCGCUCCAGACGGCCAAACGAGCCGUCCACAGAUGAUACGCCGUCGCCUAUUCAACACAAACCCUACGGCGACGGGUGGUGACCACAUCUCUGAUGACUCGGAACCUAAGAAACCCUUCCCGUUGAUGCUCAACAGAUAGGACCAGAUCUCGUAACCAUACGCGAUAUCGCCGAGCUCAAACUCAGCUUUCAGCAAAUGAGCUCGAAGAUCCAUCAGGCUACCAGCGCGGCUCCACAAAUCAAGAGUGUACUCGCCGCGACCUCGCGAACCCCUUUUACUAGCGCACUAACCAAUGUGAAACUCAGGAAAAUAGAGAAGCUGCGCCUACCAGAGUACAAGUCCGGCGGAGACCCGGUGGAACACAUGACGGCUUUCAAUAUCGCGAUGGCACGGGCUCGACUCUCCGAUGAAGAAAGGGACGCAGGCUACUGUCAACUGUUCGUGGAGACUCUCCACGAGCAAGCCCUAACCCGGUUCUCCCAACAAGAAGAGAACUCAAUCGGAAGCUUUCGAGACUUAUCAGCGGCUUUCCUCAAGGCGUACAUUAUGUUCACAAAGAGCAGUGCUACCGCUUCUAGCCUGUGGAACCUCAACCAAACCAAAGAUCAGAGCCUCCGCGACUACAUGGAGAAGUUCAAAGCAGUAGUCUCGAGGAUUGCAAUCCCCGACGACAUCACUAUCGAUGCCCUGAGAAACACAUUGUGGUUCCGCUAUAAGUUCCGAGAAGAUCUAUACCAAAAUCCAACCACCUCGCUCCAAGACGUUAUCGCUCGUUCUCACAACUUCAUCCGAAUGGAAGAAGAAACAAAUGCGAUCAUCAGCAAGAUGAACGCGGCGAAAAUGCCAGCGACUAAAAAUGCCGACAAGUGAGCAGAACCGCGGCAGCAUGCUCCUCACGACAAGAACAGCCGUAAAGACGGUUACAUGUACAUCGUUAACGAGAACAACGUACCAAAUUCGACCAUGGUAGUCCGAGGAGAAGGGUGGAAUAAAUGGGAAAGAGAGCUCGACUCAUCUGGCGAACCAACUGAUACUGUCUGCGCGACUCAACCCGCAGUGGCAGCAGGUCCGAUGGCAGGCCCUUCCAGAACCGUCGAUCUCUCCAAACAUUGAAAAUAUCACGACGUCAAAGGGCAUGAUAUGACGGAGUGUAAAUCACUCGAUGCACACUAUCUUUCGUCUCUCGCUAGCGGCGACUUCAAAUUCGAGCCCCUAAAAGCUAAGCCCAAAAAUGGCAAAAGCUGGAGAAAGAAUAAAGAAAGAAGAGCCCAGCGCAAAGCUACCGGCAAAGGCCGACAAAAAGAAACGCAGCAGCGAAAUGAAGAAAAGGCCCCAAAGGACGACGUUGAAGACGACUCCUCUGCUGACGAAGAACAGCCGACUAACCGCAUGCGCAUUGAGGUUAUACUUUCUCAACAAACCUUAUCGUCAGACGACGAGAACGACGACGCGCCUAUACCCGGAGAUCUGAGAAAUGUUCUCAAACAAAAGCUUGAGUCCAAGGACGACAUCAGCUUCGGAAAUACUGAUCUCCGGCUAACGCUGAACGCAAGGAAGUCCCAGCGUACCUCGACCAGUGGUCCUGAUCCCAAAGGGCAUCCGACACGUCUCAGCGGCGAUCUUCGAGACAAACUCAACGCCAGCGUGUGCGAUCUUCGCGUUCUCCUCAACAGCUCGAAGCCCACAUAUCUCCGUAGACGGUUGGAACAAACUAAGACGCCAGGCAACCCUACGCUGUCGUAAAACGACGACAACGCAUCAGCUGACCUUCGCGCCCUUUUAAACUCCAAGCGAGUAAAAGCAAAACAGCGACUAAACGUCAUUAUGGGCGGUUCUUCUCCCUGUGGAAAUUCUGUUCGCUCCGUCAAGGAUUACCGCCGGCAGGUUGCAACUUCGCCAAUGUGGCCCACUAGACCACCAAACCAUCCUCCGAUAACCUUCUCGCCUGAUGACACCGCUGGGAUUCACGUCCCCCACAACGAUCCUCUUCUUGUCAUUCUCGGAAUUGGAGAGUAUGACGUCACGAAAGUACUUAUCGAUACGGGAAGCUCCGUUGAUCUCAUCUUCCAAGGAACGCUGCAAAAGAUGGGAGUAGACCUCGAUGACAUUAAGGAAUCAUCCAAAAUAUUAACCGGCUUCAAUGGAUCUUCCAAAACAAUACUGGGGACGAUCCGUCUUCCGGUACGCGCAUCAAGUUCGUUGUUGUAAGCACGAAGGCACCAUAUCAUGCGAUACUUGGAACACCGUGGAUACACUCGAUGCAAGCAAUCCCGUCGACUUACCACCAAUGCAUGAAGUUUCCCGGUACGGACGGCGCAAUUAAAACGUUUCGAGGAGAUCAGAAGGCCGCUCGAUACCUAUUGAUCGCCACUGUUAAGCUCCAACAUUCUUCUCUACCUGUCAACUCCGUCUCUCCCCCGAUCUCCAAAGUUUGCCCCCAGAAAGACAAAGUUCUUGAGUUGCCCAUCGACGACACGGACCUGAACCGAACGGCACGAAUCGGUGCAUAUCUAUCUGAGGAUAUGCAGCGGUCGAUCCUCGACUUCCUCAAGGAGAAUGUAUCUUCGUUUGCAUGGUCCAUGGCAGACAUGAAAGGAAUUGAUCCAGCGAUAACAACGCACAAGCUUAAUGUCGAUCCAACCUUCAAGCCCAUUCGAAAAAAGAGACGAAAGCUUGGUCCUGACAGGUUUAAAGCUGUGAACGAAGAGGUCGAACGGCUACUCGGUGUUGGCUCAAUCGCUGAGGUACGUUACCUAUGAGUGGUUAGCAAACCCAGUGGUGAUCAAGAAGAAGAACGGGAAGUGGUGCGUCUGUGUCGACUUCACCUACCUAAAAAAAGCCUGCCCAAAGGACAGCUACCCUCUUCCAAAUAUUGACCGUCUAGUCGAAUCCACCGCCGGAAAUGAGAUGCUCACGCUCAUGGAUGCUUUCUCCGGAUACAAUCAGAUCAUGAUGCACCCUGAUGAUCGCGAGAAAACGGCCUUUAUCACAGAUAGGGGGAACCUACUCCUAUAAGGUCAUGCCGUUCGGCUUAAAGAAAGCAGGGGUAACUUACCAACGACUCGUGAACAGAAUGUUCGCAGAAAAGCUGGGCGACACCAUGGAAGUAUACAUUGAUGACAUGCUUGUUAAGUCGCUACACGCCGCCGAUCACCUCCGCAAACUCUCAACAAGUACGGCAUGAAAUUAAAUCCGGCGAAGUGCACCUUCGGAGUUUCCUCUGGUGAAUUCCUCGGUUACAUCGUAACACAAAGAGGAAUCGAAGCCAACCCGAAGCAGAUCUAAGCGGUCCCGAACCUCCCAAGUCCAAAAAAUAGUAGAGAAGUCCAGCGGCUCACGGGUCGGAUUGCUGCACUUAAUCGGUUCAUCUCUCGAUCUACCGACAAGUGUUUACCAUUCUACAUCUCCUACGCGGGAAUAAAAAGUUUAUCUAGGACGAGAAGUGCGAAGAAGCAUUUGCUCAACUCAAACAAUAUUUGACUACACCGCAUGUACUCGUCAAGCCGGAUGUCGGGGACGUUCUAUCCCUUUACGUCGCGGUAUCCCCCGCAGCAGUCAGCAGUGUUCUAAUAAAGGAAGACCGCGACGAGGAAAAACCAAUCUUCUACACAAGCAGGCGUAUGACAGGCCCAGAAAUGCGAUACCCAACUCUGGAGAAGAUGGCGCUGGCCGUAGUUGAAGCGGCAAGAUAGCUCCGCCCGUAUUUUCAGUCACAUUCGGUGGAGGUACUGACCGACCAGCCCCUCCAAACAAUACUCCAGAACACCAACAGGUCCGGAAGACUAACGAAGUGGGCUAUCGAACUCGGUGAGCUUGAUAUCACCUACAAGAACUGAAAGGCAGCAAAGUCCCAGGUCCUUGCGGAUUUCUUAGUUGAGCUGGCUCCGGAACUGGAGCAAGACCUCGCACUCCCAAACCCAAACUGGACCCUUCAUGUUGACGGAUCUUCAACCAACAAGGGCGCAGGGGCCGGGGUCCAGUUACAGUCCCCGACCGGAGAAUUGAUCAUACAGUUUUUUAACUUCGGCUUCCCAGCGUCGUAAAACGAAGCAGAAUAUGAAUCUUUGAUCGCCGGACUCCGCUUAGCCAAAGCUGUCAUGGCCAAACGUCUAAGCGCCUACUACGACUCACAGCUGGUCGCCAGUCAGUUCAGUGGCAACUACAACGCCCGCAACGACUGAAUGGAUGCUAACCUCAAGAUAGUCCAAGGGUUAGCAGCAGAGUUCGAAUUCUUCGAACUCAUCAAAGUCCCCAGAGGAGAGAACGUCUGCGCUGACGCCCUCGCAGCCCUUGGCAGCAAGCUUUGAGAUCAGGUUAAACGAACCAUCCCAAUACACCGAAUUGAGAAGCCAAGUAUUGACACCUCAACCGAGCAAACGGUCACCGUGGCCCCGAUCACCGACCGUGAGACUAGUCACGAGACCACCACGCCAUACAUCGAAAGGUUCGACCCCGACUGGAGGACGGAGUUCAUCGACAAUCUUAGCAGGGGAGAACUCCCAGCUGAGAAAUGGGCUGCACGCUGACUAAAAAUACGCAGUGCCCAUUACGUUGUCUUAGAUGAUGAACUCCAUCGAUGGACCGCGAGUAAAGUACUCCUCAAGUGCAUUCAUGGCAACGAAACUGUAAGAGUUAUGGCCAAAACACACGACGGCGCCGAAGGCAACCAUUCAGGCGGACGAGCCUUGGCAAUCAAAGUGAGAGGCUUAGGCUUCUUCUAGCCAACGACGAACGCAGACUGCGAGUCCUACGCUAGACAUUGCGACAAAUGCCAACGGCACGUACCAAGUACCCACUAUCCGACUAAAAUGUUACGCACGACAACAGCACCAUAUCCAUUCAUGCGAUGGGCAAUGGACAUCAUAGGACCGCUUCCCAGUUUCCAACAAUGACGUUUUGUUCUAGUCCUCACUGACUACUUCACGAAGUGGAUCGAGGCUGAGGCCUUCGCUCAAGUCACAGACAAAGAAGUUUGUGGCUUCGUAUGGAAGAACAUUAUCUGCCGCCACGGUCUACCUUAUGAAAAUGUUACUGAUAACGGAUCGCAGUUCAUGUCAGGCAACUUCAAAGAAUUCUGCAGCAAAUGGGACAUCCGAUUAAGCCCUUCCACCCCUCGCUACCCGCAAGGAAAUGGCCAAGCGGAAUCCUCCAACAAGCUUAUCAUUGACGGCAUCAAAAAACGUCUAGAUCUGAAGAAAGGACAUUGGGCCAAUGAACUCGACGGAGUCCUGUGGAGUCACCGCACGACACCAAGCGGUUCGACAAAAUCAACACCUUUCUCCCUUGCAUACGGUGUCAAGGCUAUAGCCCCCACAGAGGUCAAUGUUACAAGCCUCCGACUUUCGAAGAUGCCCCAGUACAUAGAACUCAACAAGGAGAUGCUGCUCGACGCCCUCGACGAGAUCGAAGAGAGAAGGGACCAAGCUCUGCUCCGGAUCCAAAACUAUCAGCAUCAAAUAGAGAGCUACUACAACAAAAAGCUCCGGGCCAGACCCCUUGAACUCGGUGACCUCGUCAUGCGCAAAGUGUUCGAGAACACUAAGGAACUCAACGCCGGCAAACUCGGGGCAAGGUGAGAAGGACCCUACAAAAUCGUCAAAGUCGUCAAACCAGGCGUCUACCGGCUUGAAACAUCCCGCGGAGAAGAAGUGCCUCGAGCAUGGAACUCAAUGCACUUGCGACGUUUCUACUCUUAGAAAAGUCGAAUCUCAAAAAAAAAAAAAAAAAACCGAGACCUCCGCGGUCACUUCCACUCAACCGAGUAGAUGCACCUCCGCGGUCACUUCCACUCAACCGAGUAGAUGCACCUCCGCGGUCACUUCCACUCAACCGAGUAGAUGCACCUCCGCGGUCACUUCCACUCAACCGAGUAAAUGCGCUUCAAACAGCCACUUUUACUCGGGUAAACGAACUACGAAUGGCUUGAUCCUCAACCGAGGUACGUAGGCAGCCUUAACCGGUCCAACUGUAACAACACCAAAAUCCAAACUUUGUUUCAAUCUCAAUCGACUAACGAGUGAUCGAUGAACCCCGCUUGUCGUAAGACGGUCAUCGCAUCAAGUGAUUCUCGUACCGCCAACAGGCAGUACGCGGACACUCACAUCCCACUAUUCAGCUAUGUCCUGAUCAGUCAUCUGGCUAAAGGACUCAACUGUCGUCAGUCACCUAUGCCCCAAAUGUAUUGACCGACCAAAAAGAGCGAAAUCUAUACCCUUUUUUAGACUGACGAGUAAAGGAUUAGCUACCCAAAACUCGACUGUCAUUUGAUAAACGGAUAAAAGAACCUUUCCCUCUUAAAUUCGGUCUCUCGUCUUUCGGAAUUGAAUAGCGUCUUUCGGAAUUGAAUAGCGUCUUUAGACAUUAUCUCAACCGAAACGCGACGAGGACAUGCAAAAGUCCCUUAGAGGCUUGUUUGAUUAUCUAUUUGCAAAAAUUAAAGAUCAAGGACCUAUCGUUUCUAAGCAAACAUGCUACGACACUUUCAGGCAAAUUUUGAUUUUUUAGACACUGCAAAUACAGAUGAAAGAAAACAACAACACACGAACCUAAAGUUUGCUUAACACAGUAACUCGCCAAUAAGGUAAAAACGUGUCUAAACAUACAACAAAAAGGUCGACCAGGACCACAAACACAUUCCGACGAAAAACACAAAAAAUAAUAAUACAACACAGAUGGAGGGUCAAGCAGCGGAAUCCUGGUCAUUUCCGUUCCCAGUCAGGACACUCGGAGCAGGAGGAUCCUGGGGGUCUUCGGCUGCAGAAACAGUUGGACCCUAAACUUGAGCAGGAACAAGACCAGGAAGAUCCACACCUAAGGACGGGAUGCUCAAAGUACUCCCUUUCCCGACCUCGCUUGUUACCUCCUCCUCGUUCGGUCUCAGCGAUGGCGUCUUCUCACCUCGAUCGCUUUCCCCCUCCUCGUCCUCUCGCCUUUCGGAAGAAGUGUCGGAGACGAGAACAUGGUCUUCAGGACCUACGUUCUCAGUCCCCCCUUCCUGGAUUAAGAUGUCACCCGUCUCAAGGUUCUCUUUCUCAGGACUCUUCUCCUCCGUAGCCGCGACCCGUUCCGUGGGGGCAGAUAUGACGUCUACCGCUAACUCUCCGGACUGGUCCUCAACGACUUAGCGUGAAGUAAUGAGCUGAGAAGCCGACUCCGACCCAAACAAGCCAACAUUUGACCCAUACGGGUCAAGCGUCGCCAUAAACUCCUCGUUAACAAACUUAGAAGGAAGGUUGAGUAGGGACAAAGUAAGGUCGCUCUCGGAAAGUGAGUCAAGGCGAAGUCUAGCAACCUCAGCCUCAUGAAGCUUCUCCUGCUCUAUGAAAAUGUUUAUCAUUUCUUGCGGGAUCUCCGUCCCGUUGUCCCUUAUCACCUCGAGGCAUUUUCUCGUUCCUGAGGCCUGUCCAUACAGAUUCUUGGCUUUCUCGAAGGCGUCAAGGCGAGCUAAGUGGUCUCUCACCCGACCGAAGCAGCGAGUAGACUUGUCUGCCAUGGAAGUUUGAACCUUGACCCUCUCGCGAGUAACUUCCUGGAUUCGAGAGUCCCAUAAACGCUUCCUAUCCAUGACCAGCGUCUCAACAACAACAUCCCUCUCUUCUUCAAGCUCCGCCUUCUCCAUCUCAAGGGCAGCAGCAGUCUGCUCCAGACGAGUCUUCUCGCGCAUAAGCUCCUUCUUCGCAAGUCAAUCAGAUUUCAUCUUGCCUUCGAGUUCUUCGAACUUGACUCGAAGAACUUCUUUUUCCUCAGCCGCCUUGUCGUUAGCCUUCUUGUUCUCAGCCCGCAACCUCUCAAUCGCGCUCAGCUUGGUCCACGCAAGUUUCUCCGCCGCGUCUAAUUGUAUCAUCGUCUGCUUCAGUGCGCUGUCAUACUUCUCGACGAGAUAAUUCAUACUCCCGUCACUUUGCACAAUAACAAAAGCAAGAAUGAUUUUCUUUAGCUUACGAAAGGGUCCUGUUUGAACUAGUGAAAAGGGUCAGUAAGUUACCCGUUUUCUCGUGAAAGCGGCAUCGAUGUAUUCGUGCUUAAAGUAUAGGUCCCCUAUUGGCGGUAACUCCCUCGUCCCGCCACGGAUCUGACGCGUCAACUCUGCGCACUGGAGAGGAUUAAACACUAAGGGAGUCUUCUCGUCAUACAUGAACUCCACGCGGUCUGGAAAUUCGACCCUCGCCCACUUCGAUAGUGAACCCUCACUCUGAACCCCUUUCCUCGUCGCCGACGUAGGAACGGCCCUCUCACUCGAUGGAGAUUCACUUCGAGGAUCACCUUUGGAUCCAGACGCCUUUCCUCCACUCCUCGAAGGAUCUUCAGACGCAGGAAGAUCAUCGGGAUGAUCCCCGUCAAUAGAACGACGUGCCCCAUCCUCGACAGAUUUCUUCUUCGCUCUCUUUUUUGGUCGUUCCUCAGGCGAUGCCUCAGUAGAACCAGUCUGAGCAGGGCCCCCCGUGUUAUCUUCCUGAAUGACUAUCAAGCCCUCAUUUUGGUCGAUAGAAAGAUCCUCACGAGGCCUCUUCUUCCCGUCCUUCUUCUUUUUCUUCUUCUUCGAGACCAUAGAAGCGUCAGCGGAAGACAGAGCUUCCUCUAGAGGAACACUAUCCUCAAGAGAGGCAGACUGCUCCCCUUCGGCGAUACAUUUCUUUGUCUUCCCCGCCGCCUUCUUUGUAGGAUUUUGGGCCGACGGCUCCACGUUUUCGUCUCCUUCGACGGGACUAGGUCUAAUGCCUUAAACACCAGCGGAAGACGACUUCGUCGACAACAUCUGAAGUUUCCCUUUUAGCAAGGCACUCAGGUCUAGAACUCCCUCCAUCUCUCUAGCUUUGUUUAAAAGCUUUUGUUGCUUCCGGGUAAACAAGGAUAAGCGAGAUUUACAAGGGCCGAGUACAACAGGAAGCCUCAACUCCCAAUCAACUGUAAAACAGAAGAGACGACAAAAACAUAAAGCCGGCGUAAAUAAGUUAUUAAUAAAACUUCUCGGUGAAAGAUCAACGAGCUCACCUCUAGCAAUCCGAGCUUGUUGACGCCUUAUCCACUCUCGACUAAGAUCAGGCCAACGGAGAUGGUUGUGAGCUGCGAUCACCUAGGCACUCUCGAAGAAUUUCUCCGGGUAUGUGAUUGUGUUCGGGUGGUGAACUGCAACAAUAAUAAGAAACACAUGGCCAGGAUCCCCGAGUAAGACAUGACGUUUAGAAACAGUAUCUACCAAGCGUUUAAUUCCAUAGAACGCGAUAGUCGUCCCCAGGAGGCUCUGCGAAGGCAUGCUCGUCGGACUUGAUAUAAAAAUAUGAACGUUGCCAGUCUUUCGUCUUGUUCGGAUGCCCGGUCAAGACGUUGUAGUUCGAACGCAUCUUCACUGAGAAUAUUCCAUGCGGCUCCACUUUCGUGAAAGUUAACUCUUCGAACACUCUCAAGCUCAUCGAAACGUCUGUCUCAGCGGCCAUCACCAUCAGAAUAACCACAAUGCGCAGCGACCCGUUAAGUAACAGACAGAUUGCAAUGUCUCGACGGAAUACAUAAGACGUGAUCAGUCGGGGGAUCGGAAACCAGAGUUUCGUAUGGUCUCCAAAAUAGGAUUCGUAGACACACUGGUAGCCAACUGGAGGCGACCAAGGACGCUGCCCAUUAGAAGGAAUGAUGUAUGUAACGCUGGCGCCUCCAUGUCGCCUCAAAAAAUCCUUCACUGUCUUGUGAGAGGAGCAAGAAUCGAACACGUUCUUCCACGACUGACCGUCGGCCCGAGGAUCACGCAAGGAUUCCGGCGGAAGUGGGGAAAGCUCCUCAAAGAUUCCACCAGGAUGGUAAAUCGUAGGCCUGCAGUCAAUCUGAUCAAAGUGAACCCUUAGAUGAACUCGCCUCGGAGGCGUCGAAGCCUGUCUUGAUGCUCCAGAGCCGUCACGUUCCGAACUUCUCGAACCAUCACUCCGAUCUUCUCGGUCACUACCUCUACUACUGCUCGCGUCGCUACCUACACCAACGACGGUACGACCAGCGGUUUCUUCGCGAAUUUGCCUAUGAGACACGAUGACUAGAAGGCGCUGAGAUAGACUCAUAUUCUCUGUAUCCCGCAUGGCAUCGCGAUGGAUCAGAUCAAACUCAUCUAACGGGCUGCCAUUCGCUGUCAAGUCUUUAGCUGGGCUCAGAGUGUUAGCAAUGUUCUUACCUUUCUCUUCGCGUGAUAGUCGACUCUUCAUAGGCAUACUUGUCAUUCUGAGGACGACUAAAAUGACGCUCGAAGCGCUGACUCACCAAAAACAAUUUUAGAGAGAGAAAUAGAAGUAGAGAGAAGGGAGAGGAAGCGGAAUACCUGAGCUUGCAGAGAGGAAUGACGAAAGCGAAAGGGAAGGACCUAUUUAUAACAAAAACGAAGGCACGCUUCCCAAACGCAAUCAUUAGGUUUAAGAGGGCCUAAAUGGGCCUCAAGCGCCGCCUAAAUAUCCAGAAACCUACUCGCGACAGUUUGAUUUCUCGGUUGAAGCGACAGUUUGAUUUCUCGCCUCAACCGAUUUCUGGUUGAACAGCCAAACCAGAUCAAUCUCCAAUUUUUGAUCUGAACCGGUUCUCGCCCAAACCGGUCUCCGGUUAAAUAGCGAAACCGGUUCUACCAUUUCACGGUUCGCGAGUAACCUUCCGCCCGAAGACAACAAGGGUGGGGAAGGCGAGUCCUGAUGAACUUUACUCAAGCGACUAAAUGCGUCCAACAAUGGCCAGAGAAACAAGAGAAAGAGAUACCUUCUGUUGACCCCAAGUAAAAACGACAUGCGACUAAAAACGCCUUACAGCGACCGGGAAGACCGACUAACCGCAAGGUGCCUCUUACACUAGAACCUGUUAUCCGAACGAACUUGACCCACAAAUUCACUGAGACCGCUACACUGCUCACAAGUGAACUGGGGGGGGGGCUUAUUGUAGGAGAUGGAUUACAUCCCUCCACAAGACCCAUCGAAUAACAAGGUCUAGCCCAACAAGCUACAAACUUACUCGGCUUGGCGAGUAAAGCUGUCAGUUCGGUCUUAGAGUGCUUUUAGCCGACGACCAAGCCGACCAAAAGCAUCCAGCUCGGAGGAACUCCAUCAAGGCCCAUAUACUCGGCCUUCUCAAGUUAAGGCCCAAAGGGGGACCGGAUCUAGGGCACACAAGGACGGAAAGCGUAUAAAAGGAAAGGAGACAACAACAAGAAGAAGAUCGACACUUUUACACACACACUAAGCAGCUAGAUCUAGGGUUUUAGUCUCUCUUUACUCCUAAUCGUUCUGUACCUUUUCUGGUUUGCUCUUCGAGCUCCGGCUUGUUUCCUUGAUCUCCUGUCACUCUUGUAUCCCCUUUUGAUCAGAUCUAAUAAAACUUCUUUAGUCAUCCCAUUUUCGAGUUUUUUCAACCUAGUCGACUGAAUCCCGUAGAAACACCUGUGAUGAUGUUUUUUGCGGUAUAUUUAGCAAAGUGUUGUUUGAUAUAUAUAAGCAAACAAAAAAGGUUUUU